rnacentral:rRNA from 1 species
AUGAACGCUAGCUACAGGCUUAACACAUGCAAGUCGAGGGGCAGCAUGGUCUUAGCUUGCUAAGGCCGAUGGCGACCGGCGCACGGGUGAGUAACACGUAUCCAACCUGCCGUCUACUCUUGGACAGCCUUCUGAAAGGAAGAUUAAUACAAGAUGGCAUCAUGAGUCCGCAUGUUCACAUGAUUAAAGGUAUUCCGGUAGACGAUGGGGAUGCGUUCCAUUAGAUAGUAGGCGGGGUAACGGCCCACCUAGUCUUCGAUGGAUAGGGGUUCUGAGAGGAAGGUCCCCCACAUUGGAACUGAGACACGGUCCAAACUCCUACGGGAGGCAGCAGUGAGGAAUAUUGGUCAAUGGGCGAGAGCCUGAACCAGCCAAGUAGCGUGAAGGAUGACUGCCCUAUGGGUUGUAAACUUCUUUUAUAAAGGAAUAAAGUCGGGUAUGGAUACCCGUUUGCAUGUACUUUAUGAAUAAGGAUCGGCUAACUCCGUGCCAGCAGCCGCGGUAAUACGGAGGAUCCGAGCGUUAUCCGGAUUUAUUGGGUUUAAAGGGAGCGUAGAUGGAUGUUUAAGUCAGUUGUGAAAGUUUGCGGCUCAACCGUAAAAUUGCAGUUGAUACUGGAUAUCUUGAGUGCAGUUGAGGCAGGCGGAAUUCGUGGUGUAGCGGUGAAAUGCUUAGAUAUCACGAAGAACUCCGAUUGCGAAGGCAGCCUGCUAAGCUGCAACUGACAUUGAGGCUCGAAAGUGUGGGUAUCAAACAGGAUUAGAUACCCUGGUAGUCCACACGGUAAACGAUGAAUACUCGCUGUUUGCGAUAUACUGCAAGCGGCCAAGCGAAAGCGUUAAGUAUUCCACCUGGGGAGUACGCCGGCAACGGUGAAACUCAAAGGAAUUGACGGGGGCCCGCACAAGCGGAGGAACAUGUGGUUUAAUUCGAUGAUACGCGAGGAACCUUACCCGGGCUUAAAUUGCAGAUGAAUUACGGUGAAAGCCGUAAGCCGCAAGGCAUCUGUGAAGGUGCUGCAUGGUUGUCGUCAGCUCGUGCCGUGAGGUGUCGGCUUAAGUGCCAUAACGAGCGCAACCCUUGUUGUCAGUUACUAACAGGUUCCGCUGAGGACUCUGACAAGACUGCCAUCGUAAGAUGAGAGGAAGGUGGGGAUGACGUCAAAUCAGCACGGCCCUUACGUCCGGGGCUACACACGAGUUACAAUGGGGGGUACAGAGGGCCGCUACCACGCGAGUGGAUGCCAAUCCCCAAAACCUCUCUCAGUUCGGACUGGAGUCUGCAACCCGACUCCACGAAGCUGGAUUCGCUAGUAAUCGCGCAUCAGCCACGGCGCGGUGAAUACGUUCCCGGGCCUUGUACACACCGCCCGUCAAGCCAUGGGAGCCGGGGGUACCUGAGGUGCGUAACCGCGAGGAGCGCCCUAGGGUAAAACUGGUGACUGGGGCU